UAUUUAUUUUCACAUCUUCGUCUUCCAUCAUUGCUCGAUGUUUGUUUCUAAACUCAUGCUUGGUCAAAAGAUUUUCCAUGUCAGUGACAAAAUUGCAAGGAAUGCAACCAUACCACUUGAUUCCAAUUUUGUGACGCUCUGUGUUCAUAUGUAAAUCAAAAUCCCAUUUCUUGUUGCAUGAAAACCAACAUUUUUCACACUGGAAUCGAGCGUUCCGGUCAAAGAGUAAUUUCCUUGCUUCACAACUUUUGAUGUGAGCAUCAAGUUGACCCCGUUGGGGCGUUGAUGAAGUACAGCCUUCAACUACAAUAUAGAAUAACAAAAGGUCCUUUGCAGACUUCAACGUGGUCACCGAGGGUCUUGGAAGUUGAAACGCGAUAACCACAAUUUAUUUCACCGCACAAAGCAGUUAUUUAUUUAGCCGCACAGAGCAGCUAUUUAUUGAAACCGCACAAAGCAGUUAUUUAACAAAUAAUAAAUACAAUGUAAUAAAAUAUAUAAAACUAUAUAAGUCGAAAGAAAGCGAAGACGACGAUGAGUUGCAGUGGAUUUUCCCUGCAGGUGAAUAUAUUCAUUUAAAAUGCUUUGCUAACCUAGCUUUAAUUUGUUAAAUGUUAUAAAACUGAUAACUUACCCACAACCAACGAAAAAAAGUAAAAUCGAAGAAAAACGAAGACGUCGACGAGCUGCAGUACAAAUCUCCUGCACAUGAAAUUUAUUCAUUUAAAAUACUUUGCUAACCAAGCUUUAUAUUUACUAAUCUCAAAAAAAUCUAGAAAAAAGUACUUACCUCCAAGAAAAAAGGAAAAAAACUGCGAAAAAUCGACGAAAAACGAAGACCGGCCGAAAACACUAGAUACGAACACACUAUGAAUCAUCGAAAUUAAUUAUUAUACUUUGCUAACCUAGCUUUUUCUUUAAAUGUUAUUAUAAGAAUAAAAACUAAUUACCAACAGCAGAAAGAACUCUGACGAUAACGACAAUGGCGAUGAGAGGAGGCAUUUUUUUCCUUUUCUCUCGGAAGUAAGUACUUUUUGCUACAAUUUUUAUUGACAUCAGUCAAUAUAAAGCUAGGUUAGCAAAUCAUCAGUUAGUCCCUAUUGAAUUUUUAAUUUGAAUUAAUAUAAAACAAAUAAUUUGGUCUUUCAGAACAAAAUAUUUUGAAUUCGCAGUUUGUUUUGUUGUCGCCUUGUUGUUUAGUGUUGUUCGUGAAUGUAAGUUUUAACCACAUAUUCAAACUCCUUUUUUAAUUGGAAAACUCACCAAAAUUAUAAUUUCGAAUUUCUAGAUGGGGAAAUAUAAUCAUCAAGUGAUUGUGAGUGGGCACCCGUUUGGGAGUGCAUUUAUGUUGAGCGUUCCCGGCGGUGGUGGUGGAAAGCGAGGUGGAGGCCAUGGUGGUUGAAGAAACGUUAAGGACAAGAAAAAGAAGAAUCAAAGGUGUUGGCGCUGCAAUGGGGUACCACGGAUAUGAAUGUAAAUACUCUGAACAAGAGGCUGCUGCCAAGAAGGAAACUUAUUUACAGAAAAAAGAAGAGAACAUUGCUACUUCUUCUGCAGCUUUCACCAUUUCCAGGAUGGAGGCCUGACCUCGUCGUGCCGCCUGUUCCCACAAAUGACAUUAAUAUGAACUAGUUUUUUUAAAUUUAAUCUUAAUGUAUUUACUUUCUCCAGUUUCCUGAGUUCUUUUUUUGUAAUAAAUCAGUCAUUUUAACAAUUACGAUAAAAUCGGUUUGGAAUUCUUUGUCCACAUUUUAAAUUUUGUAUUUCUCCUAGUCAUUUAUUAAUUUAAGAAAAAAUCGGCGUGGAGCUUCGCCCACAUUUCG